ensembl:lncRNA
UGCUGCAAGCAGGAUGCUGUAAGGUGGGAUACUGGAGCCAACUACCGGGAAAAAGAAGUGUUUUAAAAGUAGUGAUCGUGGAUAAAGACUGACACGAUAUUGACGGAGUUUUUUGGAUUUUCACAUUGUUCUGAGUAUCAGUGAAUCUACUGAGUGCUCUCAAGCAAAUCCUUCUCAUGCAGGCAACAAAAAACUACCAGCUGUAGUCGAUCACGACCACCACAAAGAAGGAGAAUAUGCUGGUGCUGAAUGCUGGUGCUGAAUGCCCAGAAGACAGUGGAGAUUAUUGUGGACUUCAGGAAGCACACAGCCCCACUCCCCCCCAUCAUCCUGACUGACACCCCCAUCACCUCUGUGGACUCAUUCCGCUUCCUGGGUACCACCAUCACCCAGGACCUGAAGUGGGAGCCCACCAUCACCUCCGUCAUCAAGAAAGCCCAGCAG